AGCUGCUACGAUGGGGAGAGAUCGAAUCCGGGGCAAGAGAUCGAUACCUCCACACUAUUCACUCCCUCGUUGACAGAUACCCUCAAGAAAAUUUGCUGUUCGUCACUCAUGGGGAAGGAGUGAAGGUCACAGCCUCGACAUAUUGGAAGGAGGCAAGAGGGCACAAAAUAAAACCGGACUAUCUUAGGCGCGCACAUCUCAAAAGGCAAAUUGUCUGGAACGGCAUCUCUUUCACCGCCAAAAGAUUUGAGAUCGCCACGAACCCAGAUGAAACCGGCAUCAAGCACGAGCCGCUACGACACGCGUGAACCGGUGUUUGCAAUUGCAGUCUGUGAUGGAGCAUUGGGAGGGUUUGAGUUGCUUUCUAUGCUGGUUUUGCCAUAUGUUGGUUAUGUUGGAUCAUUUUGAUGUUGGGAGAGUUUAUGUUGUUCA